UGGAUUUUCAUGAUUUUUGUGUGAUCUGAGCUUGAUUCAUUGAUCUUGCUCUUCCUUUUUUUGUAGUGAGAAUGAGAAGAACGAAUUCACCAACCUCUUCUCUCGUUACGUAAGGUAAAUUGAAUUGAAUCGAAUCAAAUUUUCUUCUUUUUAUUUUAUUUCUAUGUUUGGUUGAUGAGAAAAUGAUGAAAAAAUUGGUACUGAAAUCUAUGUGAAUUUGUGUACCUUAGAUUGGCACUUUGAUGGAAUUUGAUUUGACAAUGCAUGUUGUAGUGGAAGAGAAGCACAUGCUCAAAAAGGAAGGGGAAGGAAUCGCAUGUCCGCUGGAUGGUAGUAGGUUGCUUUGCAGUUUCAAAGACUAACUGUGUUCUUUUGUGCAUCAUGUGGAGUUUCAUGUUCAAGUACACACUUGUGUAUAUCAUUGAGCCAUUUAGGCAAUUCAUUAGGUUUAAGAGAGAAAUCGAUCUCUUGGAGGGCGAAUUAUGAAAACCCAUUUUAUACAUUUUUGUAGAACAUGUUUUAGUCUGACCUUGAUUCAGGUAGCAGGUUGACCGAAGAGUCAUCAACCAUUCAUGUGGGUGAAAUUUUGAUUGGGUUGAAGCCCUUGCACACAGUCCCAUAUUAAUAGGGAACAGAAUAUCGAUAAACAUUGAAAGUUAAUCGAUUUUUUUUUAAUGUCAAGUUCUUUGUCUCUCUUCAUAUUUCAUCUUGAAUAUGCAGACUCCCUUGUAUCUUCCUCUUUUUUAUGUAACAUGUGUAUUGAUGCAUUGAUGAGCUUGUUCUUAUUUCGUCGAGUGUUUGAGAGGUUUUUCUAAACCAUUGUGCAUUCUUGAAAAUUACAAUGGCGCAAAUGUGUUAUUGGUGGAAAAUUUUAGAGAAAUUUGUGUCUAGUUCCCGAAGUUUCUUGUAAUUAUAUCAAAUGAUAUUUGAGCUUGUGAGCAAUUAAGCUAAAAACCUCAAAAUAACUCAUACUAUUUCUGGAACUACAACAAAAAAAAACUCACACUAUUUAUGAAAUCUAAUCAAAAUAACCCAUAUUGUUUAUGGAAGGGA
rnacentral:lncRNA from 1 species